rnacentral:rRNA from 1 species
GAUGAACGCUAGCUACAGGCUUAACACAUGCAAGUCGAGGGGCAGCACAGUGUAGCAAUACAUGGGUGGCGACCGGCGCACGGGUGCGUAACGCGUAUCCAACCUUCCCGUUACUCUUGGAUAGCCUUCCGAAAGGGAGAUUAAUACAAGAUGGUAUUCAAAUUCCGCAUGUUAUUUGAAUUAAAGAUUUAUCGGUAACGGAUGGGGAUGCGUGACAUUAGAUAGUAGGCGGGGUAACGGCCCACCUAGUCUACGAUGUCUAGGGGUUCUGAGAGGAAGGUCCCCCACACUGGAACUGAGACACGGUCCAG